rnacentral:tRNA from 1 species
GGGCCUGUAGCCUAGCCUGGAUAGGGCACCGGCCUUCUAAGCCGGGGACCGAGGGUUCAAAUCCCUCCAGGCCC